rnacentral:rRNA from 1 species
AGAGUUUGAUCCUGGCUCAGAUUGAACGCUGGCGGCAGGCUUAACACAUGCAAGUCGAGCGGAGAUGAGGUGCUUGCACCUUAUCUUAGCGGCGGACGGGUGAGUAAUGCUUAGGAAUCUGCCUAUUAGUGGGGGACAACAUUCCGAAAGGAAUGCUAAUACCGCAUACGUCCUACGGGAGAAAGCAGGGGAUCUUCGGACCUUGCGCUAAUAGAUGAGCCUAAGUCGGAUUAGCUAGUUGGUGGGGUAAAGGCCUACCAAGGCGACGAUCUGUAGCGGGUCUGAGAGGAUGAUCCGCCACACUGGGACUGAGACACGGCCCAGACUCCUACGGGAGGCAGCAGUGGGGAAUAUUGGACAAUGGGGGGAACCCUGAUCCAGCCAUGCCGCGUGUGUGAAGAAGGCCUUAUGGUUGUAAAGCACUUUAAGCGAGGAGGAGGCUACUGAGACUAAUACUCUUGGAUAGUGGACGUACUCGCAGAAUAAGCACCGGCUAACUCUGUGCCAGCAGCCGCGGUAAUACAGAGGGUGCGAGCGUUAAUCGGAUUUAC